rnacentral:rRNA from 1 species
CCUACGGGAGGCAGCAGUGAGGAAUAUUGGUCAAUGGACGAGAGUCUGAACCAGCCAAGUAGCGUGAAGGAUGACUGCCCUAUGGGUUGUAAACUUCUUUUAUAUGGGAAUAAAAUGUUCCACGUGUGGGAUUUUGUAUGUCCCAUAUGAAUAAGGAUAGGCUAACUCCGUGCCAGCAGCCGCGGUAAUACGGAGGAUCCGAGCGUUAUCCGGAUUUAUUGGGUUUAAAGGGAGCGUAGGUGGAUUGUUAAGUCAGUUGUGAAAGUUUGCGGCUCAACCGUAAAAUUGCAGUUGAAACUGGCAGUCUUGAGUACAGUAGAGGUGGGCGGAAUUCGUGGUGUAGCGGUGAAAUGCUUAGAUAUCACGAAGAACUCCGAUUGCGAAGGCAGUUCACUGGACUGCAACUGACACUGAGGCUCGAAAGUGUGGGUAUCAAACAGGAUUAGAUACCCUUGUAGUC